GCGGUCAUGGCGGAAUUGGUAGACGCGCAGCGUUGAGGUCGCUGUGGGGCAACCCGUGGAGGUUCGAGUCCUCUUGACCGCA
rfam:Hyphomonas sp. L-53-1-40 contig6, whole genome shotgun sequence.